AAGUCGAGGGGCAGCAUUUUAGUUUGCUUGCAAACUGAAGAUGGCGACCGGCGCACGGGUGAGUAACACGUAUCCAACCUGCCGAUAACUCGGGGAUAGCCUUUCGAAAGAAAGAUUAAUACCCGAUGGUAUAAUCAGACCGCAUGGUCUUGUUAUUAAAGAAUUUCGGUCAUCGAUGGGGAUGCGUUCCAUUAGGUUGUUGGCGGGGUAACGGCCCACCUAGCCGACGAUGGAUAGGGGUUCUGAGAGGAAGGUCCCCACAUUGGAACUGAGACACGGUCCAAACUCC
rnacentral:rRNA from 1 species